UUUCCGUAGGUGAACCUGCGGAAGGAUCAUUACAGAAUAGAAAGCCGAGCCGGGUGGCUAACCCCUCCGGGUCGGUCUUUUACCCUGUUCCACCCCUCAUGUGAACCAGAGCGUGGCGUUUCAGUAGCGGGGCUUCACGGCCCUUCGAAAGCCGCCCGCCCCUUUUUAUACAUACACUCGAAAGUCUCAGAAUGUAACCUUUGCUUAACCGCAAUAAAAUACAACUUUCAGCAACGGAUCUCUUGGCUCUCGCAUCGAUGAAGAACGCAGC
rnacentral:misc_RNA from 1 species